AAAGAGACACUCAGAAGAUCUCUUUCCAGUAAAACUAGGGGUGCUAAAAGUGGAGUGAUAUCAUUCUCAAUUAAAGUGGAGUGAUACAGUUGUUUUGUUCUCUUGUUGAUGUAAAGAUAAUUAAUUCACUCAAUCGUUGCAAACCCCUAGGCAUAGGGAUCUGGGCCAGAGUCUGAAAUCUUUUUCCUAACCUUGUAUCAAACGGAAGAAGGGCUGCAGAGAUUCAUGUGUGGCUCGAAGACCAGUUUGUUGUGCUGCUCAAGAGGAGAAGAAACAAUGCAAUGCAAUAUUCUUCUUCAUCUUUAUUAUUGUGAUGCACACAAGCUGGUCUGGACACAACUAUUA